ensembl:lncRNA
CUCGUUGGUCUGCGUUAAAAAAAAGCUUUACAGGUUUGGUCAGCGGACACCUGGGGUUAAAUGCGUUGUACUGUAGCUUUACAGGUUCGGUCAGCGGACACCUGGGGUUAAAUGCGUUGUACUGUAGCUUUACAGGUUCGGUCAGCGGACACCUGGGGUUAAAUGCGUCGUACUGUAGCUUUACAGGUUCAGUCAGCGGACACCUGGGGUUAAAUGCGUUGUACUGUAGCUUUACAGGUUUGGUCAGCGGACACCUGGGGUUAAAUGCUUUACAGGUUCGGUUAGAUAAGGUGAAGUUGUGCCCUGCUGCUGACGUUCCCUAGU